rnacentral:rRNA from 1 species
UGCUAAGUGGGAAACGAUGUGGGAAGGCUCAGACAGCUAGGAUGUUGGCUUAGAAGCAGCCAUCAUUUAAAGAAAGCGUAAUAGCUCACUAGUCGAGUCGGCCUGCGCGGAAGAUGUAACGGGGCUAAGCAAUACACCGAAGCUGCGGCAAUGUCUUUUAGGCAUUGGGUAGGGGAGCGUUCUGUAAGCCGUUGAAGGUGAAUCGUAAGGUUUGCUGGAGGUAUCAGAAGUGCGAAUGCUGACAUGAGUAACGACAAAGGGGGUGAAAAACCUCCUCGCCGGAAGACCAAGGGUUCCUGUCCAACGUUAAUCGGGGCAGGGUGAGUCGACCCCUAAGGUGAGGCCGAAAGGCGUAAUCGAUGGGAAACGGGUUAAUAUUCCCGUACUUCUGACUAUUGCGAUGGGGGGACGGAGAAGGCUAGGUGGGCCAGGCGACGGUUGUCCUGGUUCAAGUGCGUAGGCUUGAGAGUUAGGUAAAUCCGGCUCUCUCUAAGGCUGAGACACGACGUCGAGCUGCUACGGCAGUGAAGUCAUUGAUGCCAUGCUUCCAGGAAAAGCCUCUAAGCUUCAGAUAGUCAGGAAUCGUACCCCAAACCGACACAGGUGGUCGGGUAGAGAAUACCAAGGCGCUUGAGAGAACUCGGGUGAAGGAACUAGGCAAAAUGGUACCGUAACUUCGGGAGAAGGUACGCUCUUGAUGGUGAAGUCCCUCGCGGAUGGAGCUGACGAGAGUCGCAGAUACCAGGUGGCUGCAACUGUUUAUUAAAAACACAGCACUGUGCAAAAUCGCAAGAUGACGUAUACGGUGUGACGCCUGCCCGGUGCCGGAAGGUUAAUUGAUGGGGUUAGCGCAAGCGAAGCUCUUGAUCGAAGCCCCGGUAAACGGCGGCCGUAACUAUAACGGUCCUAAGGUAGCGAAAUUCCUUGUCGGGUAAGUUCCGACCUGCACGAAUGGCGUAAUGAUGGCCACGCUGUCUCCACCCGAGACUCAGUGAAAUUGAAAUCGCUGUGAAGAUGCAGUGUACCCGCGGCUAGACGGAAAGACCCCGUGAACCUUUACUACAGCUUGGCACUGAACAUUGAACCUACAUGUGUAGGAUAGGUGGGAGGCUAUGAAGACGUGACGCCAGUUGCG